rnacentral:rRNA from 1 species
GGGGACCAUCCUCCAAGGCUAAAUACUCCUGACUGACCGAUAGUGAACCAGUACCGUGAGGGAAAGGCGAAAAGAACCCCGGCGAGGGGAGUGAAAAAGAACCUGAAACCGUGUACGUACAAGCAGUGGGAGCCUCUUUUAUGGGGUGACUGCGUACCUUUUGUAUAAUGGGUCAGCGACUUAUAUUCUGUAGCAAGGUUAACCGAAUAGGGGAGCCGAAGGGAAACCGAGUCUUAACUGGGCGUUAAGUUGCAGGGUAUAGACCCGAAACCCGGUGAUCUAGCCAUGGGCAGGUUGAAGGUUGGGUAACACUAACUGGAGGACCGAACCGACUAAUGUUGAAAAAUUAGCGGAUGACUUGUGGCUGGGGGUGAAAGGCCAAUCAAACCGGGAGAUAGCUGGUUCUCCCCGAAAGCUAUUUAGGUAGCGCCUCGUGAAUUCAUCUCCGGGGGUAGAGCACUGUUUCGGCAAGGGGGUCAUCCCGACUUACCAACCCGAUGCAAACUGCGAAUACCGGAGAAUGUUAUCACGGGAGACACACGGCGGGUGCUAACGUCCGUCGUGAAGAGGGAAACAACCCAGACCGCCAGCUAAGGUCCCAAAGUCAUGGUUAAGUGGGAAACGAUGUGGGAAGGCCCAGACAGCCAGGAUGUUGGCUUAGAAGCAGCCAUCAUUUAAAGAAAGCGUAAUAGCUCACUGGUCGAGUCGGCCUGCGCGGAAGAUGUAACGGGGCUAAACCAUG